GAGUUUGAUCCUGGCUCAGGACGAACGCUGGCGGCGUGCCUAAUACAUGCAAGUCGAGCGAACUUGCGGGAGCUUGCUCUCGGGAAGCUAGCGGCGGACGGGUGAGUAACACGUGGGCAACCUGCCCUAUAGUUUGGGAUAACUCCGGGAAACCGGGGCUAAUACCGAAUAAUACAUUUUAUCUCCUGAUGAGAUGUUGAAAGAUGGUUUCGGCUAUCGCUAUAGGAUGGGCCCGCGGCGCAUUAGCUAGUAGGUGAGGUAACGGCUCACCUAGGCGACGAUGCGUAGCCGACCUGAGAGGGUGAUCGGCCACACUGGAACUGAGACACGGCCCAGACUCCUACGGGAGGCAGCAGUAGGGAAUCUUCCACAAUGGGCGAAAGCCUGAUGGAGCAACGCCGCGUGAGUGAAGAAGGUUUUCGGAUCGUAAAACUCUGUUGUAAGGGAAGAACAAGUGCAGUAGUAACUGGCUGCACCUUGACGGUACCUUAUUAGAAAGCCA
rnacentral:rRNA from 1 species